rnacentral:rRNA from 1 species
ACGGGUGAGUAACGCGUGGGAACAUACCCUUUUCUACGGAAUAGCUCUGGGAAACUGGAAUUAAUACCGUAUACGCCCUACGGGGGAAAGAUUUAUCGGGGAAGGAUUGGCCCGCGUUGGAUUAGCUAGUUGGUGGGGUAAAGGCCUACCAAGGCGACGAUCCAUAGCUGGUCUGAGAGGAUGAUCAGCCACAUUGGGACUGAGACACGGCCCAAACUCCUACGGGAGGCAGCAGUGGGGAAUAUUGGACAAUGGGCGCAAGCCUGAUCCAGCCAUGCCGCGUGAGUGAUGAAGGCCUUAGGGUUGUAAAGCUCUUUCACCGAUGAAGAUAAUGACGGUAGUCGGAGAAGAAGCCCCGGCUAACUUCGUGCCAGCAGCCGCGGUAAUACGAAGGGGGCUAGCGUUGUUCGGAAUUACUGGGCGUAAAGCGCACGUAGGCGGAUAUUUAGGUCAGGGGUGAAAUCCCAGAGCUCAACUCUGGAACUGCCUUUGAUACUGGGUAUCUUGAGUAUGGAAGAGGUAAGUGGAAUUGCGAGU